rnacentral:rRNA from 1 species
GAACAGCCAUGGUGAUUCACUUGUAUGUACGGACCGCAAGACGAUUGUGACAAAGUGGAAUUCAUGCAGGAUUUGGUGGACAUUUGGGACCUGCACGUUGGGCCAUGGCUUGUGGCUGGGGACUUCAACCUCCUCGCCAAGUAGGAGGACAAGAGUGACGCCUUGGUUAAUAGAAGGACGUUAGCGAGGUUCGGGGCCAAGUUGAGCCUACUGGAGUUGGAAGAGCUAUACCUCAAUGGGAGACGAUACACGUGGUCCAAUGAAAGGUGGAAUGCGACUCUGGAAAAGAUUGAUCAUGUCUUUGUUUUGAAUGAGUGGGACGAGGCAUACCCCUCUUGUGUCCUCUCGGCUCUUGGCACUGCGGUCUCGGACCACUGCCUGUUGAUGCUUGACUUAAAUGUGGGUAUUAGUACGAGGAAACAUUUCAAGUUUGAAGCUUUUUGGUGCAAAGCCGAAGGUUUUAUGGACGUUCUCCAAAUGGCGUGGACGUCGACGCCGGUAGCCUCCAAUGUAUAUCUCACCCUGCACAACAAACUUAGAGCCAUGACUGUUAGCCUCCAAAGGUGGAGUGAUCGUUGGAUUGGUAACGUGAAACUGCAAAUUACUAUUGCUAUGGAGGUGAUCAAGCAACUUGAUACUGCCAUGGAAUUGAGGGAGCUCUGUGACGCGGAAAAGGGCUUGAGGAGGUGUUUGGAGAAAAAGCUACUAGGGUUGUGCUCCCUUGAAAGAACAAUUGCGAGGCAAUGA